AGGACCUCUCCACGCCCACCAUAAGCUGAUUGGUUCAAACGUAUCAUUAUUGAAAUAAGUACGGUUUGGUUUUAGGGGAUUGGCUGUGAGUUGAGGGCGAUGCAUUGCAACAACUGAUUGAUACAUUAUUCGGUUCGUUUUGCGUGGGCUGGUGUCCCGGGUUAGCGGAGUUGUUAAUUUAGGACCAUUCCAUUGGUCCUUAAGUGAAAUAGCCAUCCACCCGGGGCACCGGGCCAUGCAAAACGAACUCCACCAAUGUAACAACAGAUAAUAAUAUAUUGUAACGGAUAGAUGCAUAAUAGUCAAGAUAUUGUAAUACAUUCGACCCUAUGCAUUUAAUCAGCAAAACAUUGGACAUCUUUUAAUAGAUUUUUCUAUUGACUAUGGUCCUACUAAUUUCAUCCUAAUCACCAAUUUAUUGGAUAGGGAUCUGUUACUUAAUAGCCUGCUUUACCCAGAAGGUUGGUGAUGAUUUAUAUUGAAUAACAUUGUGCUGCAGAGAAGCAAAAAUGUGUACAUUUGGCCCUAUUCUCCAGAAUUUUGGAUAUGAGAUUAAAUGUUUCAUAUAUAUCUGUUUUACUGUUUAGAUAUCACUUUGUGUAUCUAGUCCCCCCAUUUUGAAUAAGUUUUAUUUGGAACAAUGAAAUUUUAGUAUCUUAAAGUAGUCAAAAGUUUAGUAUUUGGUCCCAUAUUCCUAGCACGCAAUGACUAUGUCAAGCUUUGCAGUUUGUUUUGGUUGUGUUUCGGAUAAUGUCUUGCCCAGUAGGAACUGAAUGGUAAAUAAUGUAUUGUGUCAUUUUGGAGUCACUUUUAUUUGAAAUAAGAAUAGAAGAUCAUGAAUGAAUCCUGAAUAAUGAUGAAUGAGAAAUGCUAACCUCCCCUGUUAUUGGUAAUGGUGAGAGGUUAGCAUUUUUUGAGGGGGACUAGAGACAUAAAGUGCUUUAAUUUCUAAACAGUAAAACCGGUGUGUAUGAAAAUACCCUCACAUAAAAGGUGACAUUCCGUACUGUCACUUCAUAUGAAACAUUUUAUUUAUUUCAAAUACAAAAUGCUGGAGUAUAGAGCCAAAUGUACACAUUUUUGCUUCACUGUCCAAAUUAAUACAGAUGGGAGUGUAUAUGAUAUGGGAAUGGCUGUUAAGUGAACCACUUUCAGUUGAAAAUCAUGAUCAUAAAAAAAUGUAAUAAUUUUGUGUCGACAGCUUCACCUGACCCAAUGACCUCUGCCUGGGCUCAGGUGCCAGCAGCCAGCGGGUCACCAGUAACCGUCUGGCUUGACCAGUUUAAGGCUUUCAUUCGGGUGUGUGUAUUUGAGGUACAGCCAACCCAAACCAGUAUGGCUUGAUGGAUGAAUCCAGACCACUGUAUAAGGGUAUCCAAUUGGUAGUUACAGUCUUGUCUCAUCGCUGCAACUCCCGUACGAACUCGGGAGAGGGGAAGGUCGAGAGCCGUGCGUCCUUCCAGCCAAGCUGCACUGCUUCUUGACACAACGCCCGCUUAAUCGGGAAGCCAGCCACACCAAUGUAUCGGAGGAAACACUGUCACCUGGAGACCGUGUCAGCGUGCAUUGUGCCCAGCCCGCCACAGGAGUCGCUAAUGGGAAAAAAGCAUCCCUGCCGGCCAAACCCUCCACUAACCCAGAAGACCCUGGGCCAAUUGUGCGCCGCCCAAUGGGUCUCCCGGUCGUGGCCGGCUGUGACAGAGCCUGGACUCGAACCAGGAGCUCUAGUGGCGGGAGGCCACCCAAACAGAGCUUCUGGACAUCAGAGCUUCUGAGCUUCUGGACAUCAGAACAGCAAUUUGCUCACCUCAAACUGGAUGAAGAUUAUUUGUUUAAUGAGUCUGAUGCGAAGGUUACACUGCUUUCCCGAGGCCAGGCCCAAAUCCCCGUCAUUCGCGUAAAGAAAAGACUGAGAUACCGGGGACGGAGGUUGGGGUGCCUUGUGAGAAUUCAUUGGCAAGUGGGUAAACCACCUAUUGGCCAACGUUUUCACUGGAAAAUAAACUGGAUGAUCUAUGAUCAAGACUAUCCUACCAACGGGACAUUAAAAACUGUAAUAUCUUAUGUUUUAUGAGUCGUGGCUGAGCGACGACAUGGAUAAAAUAGAACUGGCUGGCUUUUCCGUGCAUUGGCAGGACAGAGCAGCUACUUCUGGUAAGACGACGGGCGGGGGUGUACAAGACUAAGACUAAGAUUGAUACAAGACUAAGAUUGAAUCCUAUUUCACCGGCUCUGACACUCAUCGGAUGUGGCAGGGCUUGCAAACUAUUACGGACUACAAAGGGAAACCCAGCUGCGAGCUGCCAAGUGACGCGAGCCUACCAGACGAGCUAAAUGCCUCGCUUCGAGGCAAGCAACACUGAAGCAUGCAUGAGAGCACCAGCUGUUCGGGAGGACUGUGUGGUCCCGCUCUCCAUUGCCAUUGUGAGCAAGACUUUUAAACAUCACAAGGCCACAGGGCCAGAUAAAUUUCCAGGACGUGUACUCGGAGUAUGCUUAGACCAACUGGCAAGUGUCUCACUGACAUUUUCAACUUCUCCCUAAUAAUUCCACCACAUUUACAGUUGAAGUCGGAAGUAGGAAGCUCUCCACAAAAGGUUUGUGAACAUGCCUGCUAUCAAAUACAUUUAAUUCAAUUAUACAGAUGAAGCAGGAAGUUUAUAUAAAUUAAGGUUGAAGUCAUUAAAACUCAUUUUUCAACCACUUCACAAAUUUCUUGUGAACAAACUAUAGUUUUGGCAAGUCGGUUAGGACAUCUACUUUGUGCAUGACACAAGUAAUUUUUCCAACAAUUGUUUACAGACAGAUUAUUUCACUUCUAAUUCACUGUAUCACAAUUCCAGUGGGUCAGAAGUGUACAAAUACUAAGUUGACAGUGGCUUUAAAAAGCUUGGAAAAUUCCAGAAAAUUAUGUAAUGACUUUAGAAGCUUCUGAUAGGUUAAUUGACAUCAUUUGAGUCGGAGGUGUACUCGUGGAUGUAUUUCAAGUCCUACCUUCAAACUCCGUGCCUCUUUGCUUGAUAUCAGCCAAGACCUCAGAAAAAAAUUGUAGACCUCCACAAGUCUGGUUCAUCCUUCGAAGCAAUUUCCAAACGCCUGAAGGUACCACGUUCAUCUGUACAAACAAUAGUACGCAAGUAUAAACACCAUGGGACCGUCAUACCCCUCAGGAAGGAGACGCAUUCUAUCUCCUAGAGAUGAAGGUACUUUGUGCGUAAAGUGCAAAUCAAUCCCAGAACAGCAGCAAAGGACCUUGUGAAGAUGCUGGAGGAAACAUGUACAAAAGUAUCUAUAUCCACAGUAAAACAAGUCCUAUAUCGACAUAACCUGAAAGGCCGCUCAGCAAGGAAGAAGCCAUUGCUCCAAAACCGCCAUAAAAAUAUAGACUACGGUUUGCAACUGCACAUGGAGAGAAAGAUCGUACUUUUUGGAGAAAUGUCCUCUGGUCUGAUGAAACAAAAAUAGAACUGCUUGGCCAUAAUGACCACCAUUAUGUUUGGAGGAAAAAGGGGGAGGCUUGCAAGCCAAAGAUCACCAUCCCAUCCGUGAAGCACGGGGGUGGAAGCAUCAUGUUGUGGGGGUGCUUUGCUGCAGGAGGGACUGGUGCACUUCAUAAAAUAGAUGGCUUCAUGAGGGAGGAAAUUAUGUGCAUAUAUUGAAGCAACAUUUCAAGAUGUCAGUCAGGAAGUUAAAGCUUGGUCGCAAAUGGGUCUUCCAAAUGGACAAUGACCCCAAGCAUACUUCCAAAGUUGUGGCAAAAUGGCUUAAGGACAAGUCCAGGUAUUAAAUGUCAGGAAUUGUUAAAAACUGAAUUUAAAUGUAUUUGGCUAAGGUGUAUGUAAACUUCCGACUUCAACUGUAUGUGUGAGGAAACCAUGAAUAAGGUCUAGAGCCGUGCCAUUAUUCCGAAUUUUAAAACCUCUUAGAUGUAAGGUCCCUUUUUAGCGGACCUGUGUGUUUCUGGUACCGGUUCUGUCUGACAUUUUUGCUUAUAAGUUGAUAUGUGGAUACCAUAGUGGAUAUCGAAAUGGCUUGCAUUGAGCGAUAGCCCUGGUUCCCACAUACACAGUAAUAUAUUUUCUGACCCCGUGUGACGUAUGAUGUGAAAUCUGAAACCACUUGAAGCUGGGAUGUCCCUCCUACCAUUUAAUUUGCUCUUCCGACUGUCCAUCAACUCCUGGCUGAACCCUACAUCACAGCCACUGACAAAGCACAUGCCUGUAAGCAUUCGGUCGUAGCGCAGCAGGAGGGAGUGGUUUCAUCAUGAUAGCACAUUCAGAGAUCGAUUUAUAUCCAUUAAUCAAAAAUAAAUAAUCGAUUUGAAACAAAUAUUUUCUGUUUGCCACAGACGGACAAUAUUAACAUGAGAUGAAAGGUGAGUUCUUAGAGCUCUGUGAUAUGUUCACAAAGAUGGGGGCAAAAGUUUUGAUCAAGAGAGACCUUUAGAAAAUAUGCACAUUUUGUCUAACACUAAACAUACAAAUAUGUAUUUACAGUUAUAAGGCAGGUGAAAUCUUAUAGUUAGUCGUUUUAUCAUUUCAUUAUGCUAUAUUUAGAAAGUAUAUGUAAUUUCAUUCAUUUUGUUGAAUAGGAAGUACAUCAUAUCAAAUAUUUCAUAUUUUUAUAAUAUUUGUACUGUGUACUUGAGCUUGUGUCCUCAAUAGUGACUAAACCUCAGCAAUUUACAACUAUUUUUACCAGAAAGGUAAGAUUUUAACCUUUUCUUUGAGUAUACAACAUUACUAGUUAUUGUUUAUGAUAAAUAAUUACUUUUGGGGAUUACAUAGAUGACAUUUUCGAUUACAUUUAACUGGAUAAUAUGCAUGGAUGAAAUUUUGACAUCCAAGCUAAGUAAUACCCAUAUAUAUAUAUUUAUUACUGCCACUUUGGUGUUAGUUUUCUUCAAUGAGUUGCUUACAUUUUGCAUCCUUCUAUUCCAUUUACAUUUAUUUCCUCUGCCAGGGCCGUUUAAACAGUUCCUGAGGGUCUUAGUAUUAGUGGAUCAUAUUAGGCUAAUGUUGUGCUAUAAUUUGGGACAUGCAGUGGUGUGUAUUCAUGGGGCCAAGGGAAGCCAGGCUUCCCUCUGUAUGCGUACAGAGACACGACUUUGGUCCUGCGGUUUUACGUCCCUCACCCAUGCUUGCAUCGUCCAAUGGUCCCCCGCCCACUUCGCUUCCUUCAUUAAAAAUGUAUGGACUUCCAAUGACCACGUUCACAUGCACACAGUAUUCUGGAUAGUAGCUCAUAUCCCACUUAAGGUCUUAUUCGGGAUAAGCUGUUUCAAACCAACGUUUAUUUAUCACAUGCUCCAAAUACAACAGACCUUACAGUGAAAUGCUUACUCAUAGGCUCUAACCAAUAGUGCAAAAAAGAUAUUAGGUAUUUAUUUAUUUCAGCAUCUCUUGAGAAAAUGCAAGUGUAAUGUGUUAUCUUUGACACUGUUAUGCAAGCAGACACUAUUUCAACCCCAAAUAUGCACCUAAAACAAAGUGAUGUCUUACCAGAAACAUGUUUAAUAGUUUUCUCAGAUUUUAAUUUCCCUAAAACCAUUCAAACUGAUGACAUUUUGCACAGGACCAAUCUUUCCACUGUUUUGGAGUUAGUGAGUUUUCUUCCCGGUCCCUAAAAGAAAUAUACAACUUUACUUGUGUUAAUUUUAUUACUAAUGUAUUAAUUAUAUCAGUGUAAAACAUUAUUCAGGUGAGAACUACUUUAUUUAGUCUUCUGGUGCAAGAAGUUAUGACAAAAGAGAAGCUGCAUGUAACUAUAGUUAACAAACAAAUGGUCUACCAAAUGUAGGAAAUUAUCAUUUGGUCUACCAAAUGUAGGAAAUUAUAAUUUGGUCUACCAAAUGUAGGAAAUUAUCAUUUGGCCUACCAAAUGUCGGAAAUUAUAAUUUGGUCUACCAAAUGUAGGAAAUUAUAAUUUGGUCUACCAAAUGUAGGAAAUUAUCAUUUGACCUACCAAAUGUAGGAAAUUAUAAUUUGGUCUACCAAAUGUAGGAAAUUAUAAUUUGGUCUACCAAAUGUCGGAAAUUAUCAUUUGACCUACCAAAUGUCGGAAAUUAUCAUUUGGUCUACCAAAUGUCGGAAAUUAUCAUUUGGCCUACCAAAUGUCGGAAAUUAUCAUUUGGCCUACCAAAUGUCGGAAAUUAUAAUUUGGUCUACCAAAUGUCGGAAAUUAUAAGCAGAAAGUUGUCUAAAUGAAGGGUGAAAGUAGCCAGUAGGCUAUACUGUCCAGUACGGAGUAUCAGCAAAAUACAUUAUUAUGGUGGAUCCAACUGUGCAGGUAGCCUACUUUUUGAAGUGAUUUGUUUGACAAUCAGAUGAAAAUAUCAUCACACAACACCAAUGAUAUGCGAAACAGAGCUUGUGCAGACCCAGAAAAAAAAACAGUAAAGUAGAUAAGAUUUUUACAUGCCAGUUUCCCGUCUAAAAUCAGCAUAUCCCAGGCAUUUUAUACGGGUUUCUCAAAACUGAGAUACGAGCCUUUUUCGGGUUAUUGUAAACGGGAUAUGAUGUUUAGGUGUCAACUCCAAAACAGAAUACUUGAGUAUCCCUAAUAAUAACGGGAUAUUGGUGUGCAUGUGAACGUUGUCAUUGUUUCAUCGACCCCAAUGUGCUAUGUGGACCUCCUGUGUAAAUCUGAAUACGAAUUACUGAGAAGUGUGCAGGAUAGGCGUAAAUUCCUAAAUCGGAAUCGGCCCUAUUGUGAAUACAGUAGCCUUCUCUCUAGAUGAGUUUAAAUUCGUUUAACAAUUAGGUCAAGAUUGAGCUGUUAAGACGAACCCAGACAUCGUAGUCUAGUAGGGCUACUAGGGCUUUUAGAAUGCUUUGAUCACCAUCUUCGCAGAACCCUGUCACACACGCUCAAGCCAGUACAGUAUCCGUAUAUGAGAGAGUAUGGGUGAUCUUACCUCCAGACCUGUGCUAGCUGAAAUAUAUGGAUGAAGCAUUGAAAGAGCCACAUAAAGGCUCUGCAGCAACCUCGGGCUCCUCCCAUAGUGCCCGUCGUAUGCAAUUUCCCGAACUCAGCAUCGCGGCCAGCGCCCGUUUGAUCGCUGUCCUUGGUGCUGAAAUGGCUCUCGGCGCCCGAUGCUGCGACCGCUGCUGCGGCUGUGCUACUAUCGUUGGUAUCCGAAUAAUCAUAGGCGAACCACCUAAAACUCAGCACCUGAACCACCACAGAUGGGACGAUCACGAAGACCAGUGUCAAUGCAAACCACCAGUAGUUCCGGCUGAGGUAGUAAUCCGCUGCCAGCCACAGGUCUGAGGCCCCGUCCGAAAAGAACACCAAAAGGGCACAUAGCGUCCAACUGCAAUCGUGGAGUGAGUAGCGCUUCCUAUCAGGGUGGCACUGAGGCGAACGUUGAUCUGAACCGGGCAGACCCUCGGGCAGGAUGUCAUUUCGCAACGAGACGGGUGCACCAUCAGAUUUAGCGGCCAUGUUUGUUGUAGAGAAGAGAGUGGGUAAGGGAGAUGGGGAAAUUAUGGAAGGGAGGAGGGGGUCGCGUAUGUGUGUGAAUGCAUGCAUGUGUGGGGGAGAAAGGAAGGGAGGAAUAAAUGGCGAAGGGAGGUGAGAAAGCGAAAACGAUAUUUCAUUUUAAAAAUCCUGACAAAAAAUUGAUUGAUUUAGCUCUACCAUAUAACGGAAAUUAAGUGUGAAAUUUUAGCAAGCUAGAUCAUAAGAUUAAUGAUUGUGCAGUUUUAUUAAAUACUGCAUUUGCACUGGCAGGGGAGCCAUGACGAAACAGUUGGACGUUCCAUCAGUGCCGAACCGAACAAUACUGAGGUGGCCGUAAUGAGAACACAUCAGAUGUUAAAAUGUCAAUUUACUAUGAUUUAUUAUGAAAUUAGUUAUAUGGAGGCUGUGUUGUUGCUGUGUGUAUAUAUGUAGUGCGUGUAUGUGUGUGUUUUUAUUUUUUUGUUUGAACAUUUCCCUUGGGAAAAAUAAAUACAAAUAUGACUGGGAUAUGUAUAUGAAAUGUAAUAUCUUUCCUGCUAAAAUAUAUUAAAUUAAGUCACUUUACAAGUA